rnacentral:rRNA from 1 species
GAUGAACGCUGGCGGCGUGCCUAAUACAUGCAAGUCGAGCGAAGCGGGGACGGGUGAGUAACACGUGGAUAACCUCCUUUAAGACUGGGAUAAAUUCGGGAAACCGGAACUAAACCCGCUACUUAUCGCUGGAUCUGCGCUGCAUUAGCUAGUUGGUAAGGUAACGGCUUACCAAGGCCACGAGGCAUAGCCGACCUGAGAGGAUGAUCGGCCACACUGGAACUGAGACACGGUCCAGACUCCUACGGGAGGCAGCAGUAGGGAAUCUUGCGCAAUGGGCGAAAGCCUGACGGAGCAACGCCGCGUGUGUGAUGAAGGUCUUCGGAUCGUAAAACACUGUUAUUAGGGAAGCGGUACCUAAACAGAAAGCCACGGCUAACUACGUGCCAGCCGCCGCGGUAAUUC